rnacentral:rRNA from 1 species
CGUGAAAUUGUUGAAAGGGAAGCGCUUGUGACCAGACGCGCGCCGGGGUGCUCAGCAGGCGUUCUCGCCUGUGCACUCGCCCCGGCGCGGGCCAGCGUCGGUUCGGAUGGGGGGAUAAAGGCGUCGGGCACGUAGCUCCUCCGGGAGUGUUAUAGCCCGGCGUGCCAUGCCCCCGCCCGGACCGAGGUUCGCGCUCCGCAAGGACGCUGGCGUAAUGGUCCCCAGC